CGGACGGGUGAGUAAUGCCUAGGAAUCUGCCUGGUAGUGGGGGACAACGUUUCGAAAGGAACGCUAAUACCGCAUACGUCCUACGGGAGAAAGCAGGGGACCUUCGGGCCUUGCGCUAUCAGAUGAGCCUAGGUCGGAUUAGCUAGUUGGUGAGGUAAUGGCUCACCAAGGCGACGAUCCGUAACUGGUCUGAGAGGAUGAUCAGUCACACUGAACUGAGACACGGUCCAGACUCCUACGGGAGGCAGCAGAC
rnacentral:rRNA from 1 species